rnacentral:rRNA from 1 species
GGACGAAAGUCUGACGGAGCGACGCCGCGUGGUGGAUGAAGUCCCUCGGGACGUAAACACCUUUUAUGAGUGAAGAAGUUUAUUGACAUUAGCUCAUGAAUAAGGGGCUCCCAACUCUGUGCCAGCAGGAGCGGUAAUACAGAGGCCCCAAGCAUUAUCCGGAUUCACUGGGCGUAAAGGGUGCGUAGGCGGUUAUAUUAGUCGGGUGUUAAAUCCUUGGGCUCAACCCAAGGCUCGCAUUCGAAACGGUAUAACUAGAAGGAGUCAGAGGUAAGCAGAACUCUCGGUGUAGGGGUGAAAUCCGUUGAUAUCGAGGGGAAUACCAAAUGCGAAGGCAGCUUACUGGGACUUUCUUGACGCUGAGGCACGAAAGCGUGGGUAGCGAACGGGAUUAGAUACCCCGGUAGUCCACGCCCUAAACGCUGUCUGUUGGCUUUGGGGGGAAUCGACCCCCUCCGAGGCGAAGUUAACACGGUUAAACAGACCGCCUGGGUAGUACGAGCGCAAGCUUAAAACUCAAAGGAAUAGACGGGGGCUCGCACAAGCGGUGGAUCAUGUGGCUUAAUUCGUCGAUAAGCGAAAAACCUUACCAAGGCUAGAAAUCAUACUGCACGCUUCGGGAAACCGAAGAAGCCUUCGAGGGUGUAUGACAGGUGAUGCAUGGCCGUCGUCAGUUCGUGGCUUGAGCUGUUCCCUUAAGUGGGGAAACGAACGCAACCCUCGUUGCCUGUUACAAGUGUCAGGCGAGACUGCUCCCUCACGGGAGAGGAAGGUGAGGAUGACGCCAGGUCAGCAUGUCCCUUGAUGCCUUGGGCCGCACACGUGAUACAAUGGGACGUACAACGGGACGCAAUACCGCAAGGUGGAGCAAAUCCUAAUAAAACGUUCCUCAGUUCGGAUUGUGGGCUGCAACUCGCCCACAUGAAGCCGGAAUCGCUAGUAAUCGUGAAUCCGCACGUCACGGUGAAUACGUUCCCGAGCCUUGUACUCACCGCCCGUCAAGUCAGGGGAGUCGGGAGUGCCCGAAGUACCACCUCGC